UACGAAGGGUGCAAGCGUUACUCGGAAUUACUGGGCGUAAAGCGUGCGUAGGUGGUUUGUUAAGUCUGCUGUGAAAGCCCCGGGCUCAACCUGGGAAUGGCAAUGGAUACUGGCGGGCUAGAGUGUGUCAGAGGAUGGUGGAAUUCCCGGUGUAGCGGUGAAAUGCGUAGAUAUCAGGAGGAACACCGGUGGUGUAAACGGCUUUCUGGACCAUAACUGACGCUGAGGCACGAAAGCGUGGGUAGCAAACAGG
rnacentral:rRNA from 1 species